AUUGAACGCUGGCGGCAUGCCUUACACAUGCAAGUCGAACGGUAACAGGUCUUCGGAUGCUGACGAGUGGCGAACGGGUGAGUAAUACAUCGGAACGUGCCUAGUAGUGGGGGAUAACUACUCGAAAGAGUGGCUAAUACCGCAUGAGAUCUACGGAUGAAAGCAGGGGAUCGCAAGACCUUGUGCUACUAGAGCGGCCGAUGGCAGAUUAGGUAGUUGGUGGGAUAAAAGCUUACCAAGCCGACGAUCUGUAGCUGGUCUGAGAGGACGAUCAGCCACACUGGGACUGAGACACGGCCCAGACGCCUACGGGAGGGAGCAGUGGGGAAUUUUGGACCAUGGGCGCAAGCCUGAUCCAGCAAUGCCGCGUGCAGGAUGAAGGCCUUCGGGUUGUAAACUGCUUUUGUACGGAACGAAAAGCCCCGGGUUAAUACCCUGGGGUCAUGACGGUACCGUAAGAAUAAGCACCGGCUAACUACGUGCCAGCCGCCGCAGUAA
rnacentral:rRNA from 1 species